rnacentral:rRNA from 1 species
AGAGUUUGAUCAUGGCUCAGGACGAACGCUGGCGGCGUGCUUAACACAUGCAAGUCGAACGGAAAGGCCCUUCGGGGUACUCGAGUGGCGAACGGGUGAGUAACACGUGGGUGAUCUGCCCUGCACUUUGGGAUAAGCCUGGGAAACUGGGUCUAAUACCGAAUAUGACCAUGCGCCUCCUGGUGUGUGGUGGAAAGCUUUUGCGGUGUGGGAUGGGCCCGCGGCCUAUCAGCUUGUUGGUGGGGUAAUGACCUACCAAGGCGACGACGGGUAGCCGGCCUGAGAGGGUGACCGGCCACACUGGGACUGAGAUACGGCCCAGACUCCUACGGGAGGCAGCAGUGGGGAAUAUUGCACAAUGGGCGCAAGCCUGAUGCAGCGACGCCGCGUGAGGGAUGACGGCCUUCGGGUUGUAAACCUCUUUCAGCACAGACGAAGCGCAAGUGACGGUAUGUGCAGAAGAAGGACCGGCCAACUACGUGCCAGCAGCCGCGGUAAUACGUAGGGUCCGAGCGUUGUCCGGAAUUACUGGGCGUAAAGAGCUCGUAGGUGGUUUGUCGCGUUGUUCGUGAAAACUCACAGCUUAACUGUGGGCGUGCGGGCGAUACGGGCAGACUUGAGUACUGCAGGGGAGACUGGAAUUCCUGGUGUAGCGGUGGAAUGCGCAGAUAUCAGGAGGAACACCGGUGGCGAAGGCGGGUCUCUGGGCAGUAACUGAUGCUGAGGAGCGAAAGCGUGGGGAGCGAACAGGAUUAGAUACCCUGGUAGUCC